rnacentral:rRNA from 1 species
GACGAACGCUGGCGGCGUGCUUAACACAUGCAAGUCGAACGGUGAAGGGAUCAGCUUGCUGGUUCUGGAUGAGUGGCGAACGGGUGAGUAACACGUGAGUAACCUGCCCCCUUCUUCUGGAUAACCGCAUGAAAGUGUGGCUAAUACGGGAUAUUCUGCGCCUGCUGCAUGGUGGGUGUGGGAAAGAUAUUGUUUCGGUGGGGGAUGGGCUCGCGGCCUAUCAGCUUGUUGGUGGGGUGAUGGCCUACCAAGGCGGUGACGGGUAGCCGGCCUGAGAGGGUGGACGGUCACACUGGGACUGAGACACGGCCCAGACUCCUACGGGAGGCAGCAGUGGGGAAUAGUGCACAAUGGGCGCAAGCCUGAUGCAGCGACGCCGCGUGAGGGAUGGAGGCCUUCGGGUUGUGAACCUCUUUCGCCAGUGAAGCAGGCCCGUCCCUUGUGGGUGGGUUGACGGUAGCUGGAUAAGAAGCGCCGGCUAACUACGUG